rnacentral:rRNA from 1 species
UACGGAGGAUGCGAGCGUUAUCCGGAUUUAUUGGGUUUAAAGGGUGCGUAGGCGGCCUGCCAAGUCAGCGGUAAAAUUGCGGGGCUCAACCCCGUACAGCCGUUGAAACUGCCGGGCUCGAGUGGGCGAGAAGUAUGCGGAAUGCGUGGUGUAGCGGUGAAAUGCAUAGAUAUCACGCAGAACCCCGAUUGCGAAGGCAGCAUACCAAACUAUAUCUGACGUUGAGGCACGAAAGCGUGGGUAGCAAACAGG